rnacentral:rRNA from 1 species
AUUGAACGCUGGCGGCAGGCCUAACACAUGCAAGUCGAGCGGAGCGGCGGACGGGUGAGUAAUGCCUAGGAAUCUGACUGGUAGUGGGGGAUAAGGUCCGGAAACGGGCGCUAAUACCGCAUACCAUCAGCUGAGCCUAGGUCGGAUUAGCCAGUUGGUGGGGUAAAGGCCUACAAGGGCGACGAUCCGUAACUGGUCUGAGAGGUUGAUCAGUCACACUGGAACUGAGACACGUCCCGGACUCCUACGGGAGGCAGAAGUGGGAAAUAUUGGACAAUGGGCGAAGGCCUGAUCCAGCCAUGCCGCGUGUGUGAAGAAGGUCUUCGGACUGUAAAGCACUUUAAGUUAGGAGGCGUUAACAACAGAAUAAGCACCGGCUAACUUCGUGCCAGCCGCCGCGGUAAUUC